CGCCCCGGGGCCCGCCGCCUCUUCCCGUGAGAGGUGGGGGGCGGGUCCGGCCGCGGAACCUGCGCCUGCGCCCGCGCUGCGGCCGCGGCGACCGGUUUUUCUGACCCAGCUGGAAGGGCCGGCGCAGGUGGCCUCGAGUGCGUGUUCCUCUUGGCCUCUGAUGUCUGCGAGGGGAAUUCAGCAACAGGGACUCCUGUCUGGUGCUCUGACCCCAGCUUCCUCAAUCCAGGCUCUAAAGAGGCGCCCUCAGCCGAGCCCCGGGGUCCCGCGGGCCGCGGACCCUCCCUCCCUUUCCCUGCUCUGCACCCCGGGCCGGCGCUCCGUCCUGGGCGGAUGCCCCUCUGCGCCCUGUGGGCCCGCGCCGGCGCUUGUCCCCGUCCCGACUUGGGUUGGCCAUCACCCUGCGUUGGGUCGGGGGCUGUGUUUGUGCUUUCUGGCAUUGUAUUUGGCCCCGAGCGCUUACUGGACACUCAAGAAAUGGCUGUCCCUUCUCUGGUUGCUGUCUGCUAGCCCUCUCACCAGCCUGGGCUCUGUCACUCGGCCUGUCUGCUUUAAGGAAUACUCAGUCUACCCCAGCACACUCCUUCUGCUUGAAGAGCGGGUGAGUUCUCUGAGUGUCUCUCCAAGCCCCAUCUCACAUCCUCUCCCCCUCUCCUGGCUUUCAGUUCACAAAGGGCUGCCCCAGGUCCUCCCAUGUACACAGAGGUGCUGCAAUUUCCAGAAGAAUCCUGGGGCCCGAAGAACCCACCCAGCAGGCAGUCGGCCCCAUCACCCCGCUGGCCAUUUCCUGGCCUCCCUAGGCCCUUCUCUCUACAAGCCCAGCUCUUGGGAACCCCGGCUCUUCCCUGCCAAAGGGGAAGGCCUCACCCCCACCUCUGUGACCCCAGGACAGUUUUGUUCCCCCUGCCUCAGCAGCUCUCCCACCUCUGGUAGGGUCAGCAGAUUCUCUCCUGCCUGUCGGGCACCCUGCUCCGGGCCACAUGAUCUGGGCCACGUCACAGCUACCCACAUAUCUGUUCCGUUGCAACCUGUGACCUCGUUUUCUAAGACAAGGCCGUAGGGUUUUCUCAUUUGCCCCAGAGUUACCUAAAGGGCUGUAGGGUGGUAGGCAGCCCCCACACCCUGAGGGCCAGGGCAUGAUCUGAUGUGGUCACCCAAGGCUUCUCAAGGGAGCGUCAUGAAAAAUUUCUGAGUUCCACAUUGUCGCAGAACAAAAUAAAACCCUAAUUGCUUCACA
rnacentral:lncRNA from 1 species